UAUCAUGCCAGAUCCUGAGAAAUAUCGCUGUUGAAAUAUCGCUGUUAAAAUCUCUCCUUCCCCCUAGAGACAUCCUCCACUGAUGUGAUCCAGCUGUGCAUUCUCCUGAGCUCCAGCAAAGGCAUGCAGCCUGCAGAAGCAGUUUGAAUAUGGCAGGAACUGAAGUAACUGGUGAAGAAUAAGCCCAGGCAGCAAGCAAUUCAAGAACCAUACGGGAGGAAUAGCUGUGUCUAACAAGCCUGUUCCAAAGGUGUGCUCUCAAACAUUUUUUCAGAUGUGGGAAAUUUGACAGAUUUCAGUUUUCUAUGACAUUUAUAGGAAGAAACCAGUAGAAACUACACAGAGGAAAAGUACUCACCACUUGACUGCCGCCUGAAUAAGAAUCAAACAUCACAGGACUUUACACAGGAGAUCUCAGUCAUAAUCUGGAAAGUAUAUGAAUCUACAAGAUGCACUGAAAGACUUCUGACUUAAUGCCUCUAAGUUCUUCAACAGCUGAAAGCAGUGAAUUGAGCAAACAGUCACAAAACACUUCCUGAGAUUGUUUUGU